rnacentral:miRNA from 13 species
GGUCAGAACUCACGUGCUGAUCAGUACUGGAAUGGCGCCUGUGAAUAGCCACUGCACUCCAGCCUGGGCAACAUAGUGAGACC